rnacentral:rRNA from 1 species
AGUGAACGCUGGCGGUAGGCCUAACACAUGCAAGUCGAACGGCAGCACAGUAAGAUCUUGCUCUUACGGGUGGCGAGUGGCGGACGGGUGAGGAAUACAUCGGAAUCUACUUUUUCGUGGGGGAUAACGUAGGGAAACUUACGCUAAUACCGCAUACGACCUACGGGUGAAAGCAGGGGAUCUUCGGACCUUGCGCGAUUGAAUGAGCCGAUGUCGGAUUAGCUAGUUGGCGUGGUAAAGGCCCACCAAGGCGACGAUCCGUAGCUGGUCUGAGAGGAUGAUCAGCCACACUGGAACUGAGACACGGUCCAGACUCCUACGGGAGGCAGCAGUGGGGAAUAUUGGACAAUGGGCGCAAGCCUGAUCCAGCCAUACCGCGUGGGUGAAGAAGGCCUUCGGGUUGUAAAGCCCUUUUGUUGGGAAAGAAAAGCAGCAGGUUAAUACCCCGCUGUUCUGACGGUACCCAAAGAAUAAGCACCGGCUAACUUCGUG